rnacentral:rRNA from 1 species
ACGUAGGGAGCGAGCGUUGUCCGAAGUUACUGGGCGUAAAGCGCGCGUAGGCGGUCGCUUAAGUUAGAUGUGAAAUCCCGCAGCUCAACUGCGGAACUGCAUCUAAAACUGGGCGACUUGAGGACGGGAGAGGGCAGUGGAAUUCCUGGUGUAGCGGUGAAAUGCGUAGAUAUCAGGAGGAACACCGGUGGCGAAGGCGGCUGCCUGGUCCGUAUCUGACGCUGAGGUGCGAAAGCUAGGGGAGCGAACGGGAUUAGAUACCCCGGUAGUCCUAGCCGUAAACGAUGGAUACUAGGUGUAAGUGGUAUCGACCCCACUUGUGCCGAAGCUAACGCAUUAAGUAUCCCGCCUGGGGAGUACGGCCGCAAGGUUG